rnacentral:rRNA from 1 species
AUACGUAGGGUGCGAGCGUUGUCCGGAAUUACUGGGCGUAAAGAGCUCGUAGGUGGUUUGUCGCGUCGUCUGUGAAAUUCCGGGGCUUAACUCCGGGCGUGCAGGCGAUACGGGCAUAACUUGAGCACUGUAGGGGAGACUGGAAUUCCUGGUGUAGCGGUGAAAUGUGCAGAUAUCAGGAGGAACGCCGGUGGCGAAGGGGGGUCCCGGGCCAGUAACUGACGGUGAGGAGCGAAAGCAUGGGUGGCGAAAGGGAUUAGAUUCCCUGGUAGUCCAUGCCGGAAACGGUGGUCGCUAGGUGUAGGGGUCUUCCACGACUUCUGUGCCGUAGCUAACGCAUUAAGCGCCCCGCCUGGGGAGUACGGCCGCAAGGCUAAAACUCAAAGGAAUUGACGGGG